CCUACGGGUGGCAGCAGUGGGGAAUAUUGGACAAUGGGGGGAACCCUGAUCCAGCCAUGCCGCGUGUGUGAAGAAGGCCCUCGGGUUGUAAAGCACUUUCAGUGAGGAAGAACGCCUGGUGGUUAAUACCCAUCAGGAAAGACAUCACUCACAGAAGAAGCACCGGCUAACUCCGUGCACAGCAGCCGCGGUAAUACGGAGGGUGCGAGCGUUAAUCGGAAUUACUGGGCGUAAAGCGCGCGUAGGUGGCUUGAUAAGCCGGUUGUGAAAGCCCCGGGCUCAACCUGGGAACGGCAUCCGGAACUGUCAAGCUAGAGUGCAGGAGAGGAAGGUAGAAUUCCCGGUGUAGCGGUGAAAUGCGUAGAGAUCGGGAGGAAUACCAGUGGCGAAGGCGGCCUUCUGGACUGACACUGACACUGAGGUGCGAAAGCGUGGGUAGCAAACAGGAUUAGAUACCCGAGUAGUC
rnacentral:rRNA from 1 species